GGAUGACUGAGUGCGGUGGCGAGGGAGCUGUAAUCUCCCUGCUCUACUCCCUCCAGUGAUGCCGGAAGCUGGCUUAUGACGCAAGUCCGGCACCACAUCUGUCAGGGUCUGUGUCAAUUUGUCAGUGAGUAUGUCUGUGUGUCUCUGUCAGUGGGUGUGUGUAUCAAAUCAGUGUCUGAAAGUGUGUUUUACUUUGUCAGUGAGCAUGUGUAUCAAAUCAGUGUGUGUCUGUCAGUGAGUGUGUAUGUUUAGGUGACCUGCAUCCUCCAAUCAUUUGGGAAAGUUGUUUUUACUCGCCUCACAGCUGGCUCCACCUCCAUGGCUGAAAUCAUCAAUCUUGAUCUCAGCCAAUCCGAUGCUUCCCCAUAUGAUAACAUUGGGAGACUAUUGUGCAUGUGCGCAAAAUACCACGCUGCGCAAUUAAAUUCUCCCCAUAGAAAUGCACUGGAUUCAAUGCAUCCCUAAGGGGAGCAUUAAUGUAGGUGUUGCACACUUUGCAGCACUAACCCAGGAAGCACUUCUAUAGGCUGUCUGAGUGACUGUCACUAGAGGUGUUACCAGACAGAAAUAUAAACACUGACUUUUGUCUGAAAAAGUCAGUGUUUACAUUGAAAAGCAGGCAGGGACAGUAUAUAGACUUCAGAACAACUACAUUAAGCUGUACUGGUUCUGGUGACUGUAGUGUCCCUUUAAGAACUGUAUUUUGUACAUUGAAAAAUCAAACUCUUAACUGAUUUAGCUGGCUCCUAGAUUUCAUGCAAAUUUGUCAAGCCCUGAUAUAAUGUGUGUCAUAUUAAAUUCCAUGAUAUUCCGCAAUGCUGUGAAUAUGGUGUAAAUUGUUUGCAAGGUUACAGUCUAACAAACUGGCACUUGAUUUAGAGCCGUUGAAACACUGUGAGAUUACAUUCUAAAUAGAGUUUGCCAUACCUUGUCUGUUUUUCUGGACAUGUACAUACUGAACGGAAGCACAGAGUUGUAGUGCAG